UCCCUGGCAGUCCAGUGGUUAAGACUUUUUCUUCCAGUGUAGUGAGUCCAGGUUCAAUCCCUGGCUGGGGAG
rnacentral:tRNA from 1 species